GAGUUUGAUCAUGGCUCAGGACGAACGCUGGCGGCGUAGCCUAAUACAUGCAAAGUCGAGCGAGGAAACUUCGGUUUCUAGCGGCGAACGGGUGAGUAACACGUGGGCAACCUGCCCUCAAGCCUGGGAUAACUCCGGGAAACCGGGGCUAACACCAGAUAAGUCUUUUUCUUUCGCAUGAAGGGAAAAGUAAAAGUUUACACUUGAGGAUGGGCAUGCGGCUGAUUAGGUAGUUGGUGAGGUAACGGCUCACCAAGCCAACGAUCAGUAGGGGGGUCUGAGAGGAUGUCCCCCCACACUGGAACUGAAACACGGUCCAGACUCCUACGGGAGGCAGCAGUGGGGGAAUCUUGCGCAAUGGACGAAAGUCUGACGCAGCCACGCCGCGUGAGUGAAGAA
rnacentral:rRNA from 1 species